rnacentral:rRNA from 1 species
CCUACGGGAGGCAGCAGUGGGGAAUAUUGGACAAUGGGCGAAAGCCUGAUCCAGCAAUGCCGCGUGAGUGAAGAAGGCCUUCGGGUUGUAAAGCUCUUUUACCCGGGAAGAUAAUGACUGUACCUGGAGAAUAAGCCCCGGCUAACUCCGUGCCAGCAGCCGCGGUAAUACGGAGGGGGCUAGCGUUGUUCGGAAUUACUGGGCGUAAAGCGUACGUAGGCGGCUUUUUAAGUCAGAGGUGAAAUCCCGGGGCUCAACUCCGGAACUGCCUUUGAGACUGGAUCGCUUGAACGUCGGAGAGGUGAGUGGAAUUCCGAGUGUAGAGGUGAAAUUCGUAGAUAUUCGGAAGAACACCAGUGGCGAAGGCGGCUCACUGGACGACUGUUGACGCUGAGGUACGAAAGCGUGGGGAGCAAACAGGAUUAGAUACCCUGGUAGUCCACGCCGUAAACGAUGAGAACUAGCUGUCGGGGCUCUUAGAGCCUCGGUGGCGCAGCUAACGCAUUAAGUUCUCCGCCUGGGGAGUACGGCCGCAAGGUUAAAACUCAAAGGAAUUGACGG